AUUGAACGCUGGCGGCAUGCCUUACACAUGCAAGUCGAACGGUAACAGGUCUUCGGAUGCUGACGAGUGGCGAACGGGUGAGUAAUACAUCGGAACGUGCCUAGUAGUGGGGGAUAACUACUCGAAAGAGUGGCUAAUACCGCAUGAGAUCUACGGAUGAAAGCAGGGGAUCGCAAGACCUUGUGCUACUAGAGCGGCCGAUGGCAGAUUAGGUAGUUGGUGGGAUAAAAGCUUACCAAGCCGACGAUCUGUAGCUGGUCUGAGAGGACGAUCAGCCACACUGGGACUGAGACACGGCCCAGACUCCUACGGAAGGCAGCAGUGGGGAAUUUUGGACAAUGGGCGCAAGCCUGAUCCAGCAAUGCCGCGUGCAGGAUGAAGGCCUUCGGGUUGUAAACUGCUUUUGUACGGAACGAAAAGCCCCGGGUUAAUACCCUGGGGUCAUGACGGUACCGUAAGAAUAAGCACCGGCUAACUACGUGCCAGCCGCCGAAGUAA
rnacentral:rRNA from 1 species